rnacentral:rRNA from 1 species
CAUGGCCGUCGUCAGUUCGUACUGUGAAGCAUCCUGUUAAGUCAGGCAACGAGCGAGACCCACGCCAACAGUUGCCAGCUCGUCCUCCGGGAUGGUGGGGACACUGUUGGGACCGCCUCUGCUAAAGAGGAGGAAGGAAUGGGCAACGGUAGGUCAGCAUGCCCCGAAUUAUCUGGGCUACACGCGGGCUACAAUGGGUGGGACAAUGGGUAUCGACACCGAAAGGUGAAGGCAAUCUCCUAAACCCAUCCGUAGUUCGGAUUGUGGGCUGCAACUCGCCCACAUGAAGCUGGAAUCUGUAGUAAUCGUGUCUCAAAAUGGCACGGUGAAUAUGUCCCUGCUCCUU